rnacentral:rRNA from 1 species
AUUGAACGCUGGCGGCAGGCCUAACACAUGCAAGUCGAGCGAGCGGCGGACGGGUGAGUAAUGUCUGGGAAACUGCCUGAUGGAGGGGGAUAACUACUGGAAACGGUAGCUAAUACCGCAUACCAUCAGAUGUGCCCAGAGGGGGUUAGCUAGUUGGUGGGGUAAAGGCCUACCAAGGCGACGAUCUGUAGCGGGUCUGAGAGGAUGACCAGCCACAAUGGAACUGAGACACGGGCCAGACUCCUACGGGAGGCAGCAGUGGGGAAUAUUGGACAAUGGGGGGAACCCUGAUCCAGCCAUGCCGCGUGUGUGAAGAAGGCCUUAUGGUUGUAAAGCGCUUUUAGCGAGGAGGCGUUACUCGCAGAAUAAGCACCGGCUAACUCUGUGCCAGCCGCCGCGGUAAUAC